GGAAUAUUGGACAAUGGGCGCAAGCCUGAUCCAGCCAUCCCGCGUGCAGGAUGACGGCCCUAUGGGUUGUAAACUGCUUUUAUCAGGGAAGAAACCCCUCGUUUUUCGGGGGCUGACGGUACCUGAAGAAUAAGCACCGGCUAACUCCGUGCCAGCAGCCGCGGUAAUACGGAGGGUGCAAGCGUUAUCCGGAAUCACUGGGUUUAAAGGGUGCGUAGGCGGCGGCGUAAGUCAGAAGUGAAAGUUUGCAGCUUAACUGUAAAAUUGCUUUUGAUACUGCGUUGCUUGAAUUAGGUUGAGGUCGGCGGAAUGUGACAUGUAGCGGUGAAAUGCAUAGAUAUGUCAUAGAACACCAAUUGCGAAGGCAGCUGACUGGACCUAUAUUGACGCUGAGGCACGAAAGCGUGGGGAGCGAAC
rnacentral:rRNA from 1 species